rnacentral:lncRNA from 1 species
AAGGGAACACAAAGGGAAAGAAGGGAAUAGAAAAGGGAAAGGAAAAUGGGGAAGAAGAGAAUAGAAAGGGAAAGGAAAGUGGGAAAGAUGGGAAAGACAAGUGGGAAAAAGGGGAAUACAAAGGGAAGGGCAAGUGGGAAAGAAGGGAAGACAAAAAGAAAGACAAAUGGGAAAGAGGAAAAUACAAAGGGAAAGGCAAGUGGUAAAGAUGGGAACAGAAAAGGGAAAGGAAAAUAGGGAAGAAGGGAACACAAAGGGAAAGAAGGGAACACAAAGGGAAAGGCAAAUGGGGAAGAAGGGAACAGAAAAGGGAAAUGCAAGUGGGAAAGAAAAAAAAUACAAAGGGAGACAAGUGGGAAAGAUGGGAAUACAAAGGGAAAGGCAAGUGGGAAAGAAAGGAAUACAAAAAGACAGACAAGUGGGAAAGAGGGGAAUACAAAAAGAAAAACAAGUAGGAAUGAAGGGAAUAGAAGGGGAAAGGCAAGUGGGAAAGAAGGGAACAGAAAAGGGAAAGGAAAAUGGGAAAGAAGGGAAUAGAAAGGGAAAAGCGAGUGGGAAAGAGGAAAAUACAAAGGGAAAGGAAAAUGGGGAAGAAGGGAACACAAAGGGAAAAGCAGGAAAGCUUCACUCCAAGCCAGGCUCAGUUCAGACAAUCAGUGGAGCUGUUUCAGCACUGAAGCCUGAUAAGGAAUUNAAAUUCCAAUUUUCCAAUUGGAAUUCUAGUCUUCACAGGAAAAAAAAAAAGAAUUAUUUUAAGAUGAGGCCUUUUCCCUCCAGGGGAGUUUGGGUUAGGUUUUUGUAGAUUUUAGUGAAAUGUUUUUUCUCUUGCAGAAACUUCCCCAGUCAUUGAGAAAGGGCCUCAAACACCUCAGGAACAGUGAGAUGAAGCCCCAAGGGACAAACCUGCUGGAGAACCCUUGGGAGGAGAUGUUUGCACUCACAGCAGAUGCACAGGAGGCCAAGAGCUGAGCUUUGGCAAGGGAAAAAAAAAUAAUCUAGAAUGAUGCCAAGGUCUUGAUUUUAAACAAGAUAAAAGAGUUUCGUGGCAGGAAAGAGAAAGUGUCAAAGGGAAUAUUUUAAGCUUAAAAUAAAUGAAGGUUAAAUUUAGCUUUGGCA